rnacentral:rRNA from 1 species
GUAGGGUGCGAGCGUUAAUCGGAAUUACUGGGCGUAAAGCGUGCGCAGGCGGUUCGUUAAGUUCGUUGUGAAAGCCCCGGGCUCAACCUGGGAGGUGCAAUGGAAACUGGCGGGCUAGAGUGUGGCAGAGGGGGGUGGAAUUCCACGUGUAGCAGUGAAAUGCGUAGAGAUGUGGAGGAACACCGAUGGCGAAGGCAACCCCCUGGGCUAACACUGACGCUCAGGCACGAAAGCGUGGGGAGCAAACAGGAUUAGAUACCCUGGUAGUCCACGCCCUAAACCAUGUCAACUGGGUGUUGGGGAAGCGAUUCCUCAGUACCGCAGCUAACGCGUGAAGUUGACCGCCUGGGGAGUACGGCCGCAAGGUUA